GACGACAUAAGAACAAAAUUAAAAUAUAAACAUGAACCUAAAAUAAUAGUAUUAAAUAUAGAACAUUAAAUAAUCAGAUUAGAAAAUACAAUAGAAACAGUGAGAUAAUCCAAAAUCAGCAUCAUCCAUUGGAGUUGGUAUUUGUGGGGUCAAGAAUUUCAAAACCAAUUUGCUGCUUCGAAGGCACAAAUUGCAGAAACCCAAAAAAAUGCUUGCGUGAAGCCAAGGAUAAGACUAAAAUCUAGAUUCAAGAUUCAAACUUCAAGUAAUAGACAGUUAAUCUCUGUGUCUGUGUGCAAAUUUCAAAUCAAAGUCAAAGCCUAGCCACUAUUGAUCUUUGCCAAACACCCAGUGGCUACGAGCUCACUCUAUAAAUGCCACGGCCUCAUCUUUCUCUUCAUCAUCUUCUCUGUGUAAAUUCUCUCUCAAACGGUCACGUAGUGAAUUGGACUUUCCUGCGCGAUCACUUGCAGGUACCCAAAAAAAAAAAAAGUUCCAUAUGGAUGAUCCUCUCUUCCUCUUCUUUCUUCCUGUGCGUCCUCUUCCUCUGAUGAUCGGUAAAUCCAACUAGGACAGCUACAUUCUACUCUGCAACAUUCCAACGGUUACGGUGAAUACAGCUAAGGCGGCUGUCGGUGAAUAUAGGGCAAUCGUCCUAACUCGCCACCACCUAAAUCCGCCACUGGCUGAUGGAAAAGAAAAAGUUGGUCGUUCUUUCUUGUAUUUAGUUCUCAAAUUAACAAAUUAAGUAACUUAGUAUAAAAUUGAGCAGAAUUUAGCAUCUAAAUUCUUUAUUUUGCUUUGAUGGGUUCAUGACAGAACUAGAGAAAUAGAAUAAAAGGGGCUAAAUUAACAAUUUACGUAAUCAUGAUAAUAGUACAUUUGACUUCAAUAAAUUGAAC
rnacentral:lncRNA from 1 species